CGCAGAGAUGCGGGGUCCGUGUGCGAAAGGGCCGUGCACAGGUGGUGCAUGGUUGUCGUCAGCUCGUGGGUUCGUGAGAUGUUGGGUUAAGUCCCGCAACGAGCGCAAACCCUCGUUCCAUGUUGCCAGCACGUGAUGGUGGGGACUCAUGGGAGACUCCGGGGUCAACUCGGAGGAAGGUGGGGAUGAUCAAUCAUACCCCUUAUGUCUAGGGCUCAAACAUGCUACAAUGGCCGGUACAAAGGGCUGCGACGCAAGGUGGAGCGAAUCCCAAAAAGCCGGUCUCAGUUCGGAUUGGGGUCUGCAACUCGACCCCAUGAAGUUGGAGUAGCUAGUAAUCGCAGAUCAGCAACGCUGCGGUGAAUACGUUCCCG
rnacentral:rRNA from 1 species